GUUUAAAUAGUUUAAAAUAAAAAUUUUAAUUUGUGGAAUUAAAGAUGUGACUUAUCAUUUUAAACA
rnacentral:tRNA from 1 species